rnacentral:rRNA from 1 species
GACGAACGCUGGCGGCGUGCCUAAUACAUGCAAGUUGAGCGCUGAAGGUUGGUACUUGUACCGACUGGAUGAGCAGCGAACGGGUGAGUAACGCGUGGGGAAUCUGCCUUUGAGCGGGGGACAACAUUUGGAAACGAAUGCUAAUACCGCAUAAAAACUUUAAACACAAGUUUUAAGUUUGAAAGAUGCAAUUGCAUCACUCAAAGAUGAUCCCGCGUUGUAUUAGCUAGUUGGUGAGGUAAAGGCUCACCAAGGCGAUGAUACAUAGCCGACCUGAGAGGGUGAUCGGCCACAUUGGGACUGAGACACGGCCCAAACUCCUACGGGAGGCAGCAGUAGGGAACCUUCGGCAAUGGACGAAAGUCUGACCGAGCAACGCCGCGUGAGUGAAGAAGGUUUUCGGAUCGUAAAACCCUGUUGGUAGAGAAGAACGUUGGUGAGAGUGGAGAGCUCAUCAAGUGACGGUAACUACCCAGAAAGGGACGGCUAACUACGUG